rnacentral:rRNA from 1 species
GAUGAACGCUGGCGGUAUGCUUAACACAUGCAAGUCGAACGGACUCUUCGGAGUUAGUGGCGGACGGGUGAGUAACGCGUGAGAAUCUGGCUUUGGGUUCGGGACAACCACUGGAAACGGUGGCUAAUACCGGAUGUGCCGAGAGGUAAAAGAGAAAUUGCCUGAAGAUGAGCUCGCGUCUGAUUAGCUAGUUGGUGAGGUAAAGGCUCACCAAGGCAGCGAUCAGUAGCUGGUCUGAGAGGAUGACCAGCCACACUGGGACUGAGACACGGCCCAGACUCCUACGGGAGGCAGCAGUGGGGAAUUUUCCGCAAUGGGCGAGAGUCUGACGGAGCAAUACCGCGUGAGGGAAGAAGGCUCUUGGGUUGUAAACCUCUUUUCUUAGGGAAGAACAAAAUGACGGUACCUAAGGAAUCAGCAUCGGCUAACUCCGUG